GAAUUAGAAGAUGCAAGUGUACCUGAUGGAGAGGUAAACAGUGCUGAAGUAGAGAAUUUGAGCCUCAGAAUAAGAGAGCUGGAAGAGUCAGAGUUAAAACUGAAAAAUGUGUUAGAGGACUACGUGGAAUCAGAUUCUACACUAAGAAAUAGGUUGAAAUCCAAGAAAAGGCAGAGAAGAAGCAAAAGCAAAAAUUACAUUGGCUUCAGGAGCAGCUGAAGACAAAAGAAGAUGAAGUAAAAAGCCAGUCAGAGUAUUUUGAGCACUACAAACAGAGGCAGAAGCAACAGACAGCAAUGCUGAGAGAAAAGGAAUGUUGUCUCCGGGGUAAGGUGUCUAGGCUGGAAAAGCAAGUCCUAGAUCUCAGCGCUCAUAUUGCUCUUCUGACAUCCAAGUCAGAAGAGGGAAUGGUACAGGAUCUCCAACAGAAGCUGGAAUCAGCUUUCCCUGGGACUUACUCUGACAGGGAGGUAAUGAAAUUGAAAACUCUCAUUGAAAUUGUGGAGCAUGACGUGAAAAGCCACCUUGAGACAUUGCAGCAUAAUGUGAAGCUCUUAAGGGAAAAAGAGGAAGACUGUAGAAGAGAACAGGCAGACUUGCUGACUCAACUCCAGUGCUCCCAGGACUCUGAAGACUUUCUCAGAAGGAAAUUGGAGGAAUCUUGCCAACAUGUUUGUAAUCUGAAACUAUCUGAAAUCAAACUACAGGAACAAGUCGAAGAGCUUUUGGAUGAAAAUAGGGCUUUAAAGGACCAAGGGGACAUGAAGUUAAAAAAGGAAGAUGAAGAAGAGUCAUGCCUUACAAGACUGGAAAAUGGAGACAACAUUGCAGUCAGUGUAGACCUGAAUGGAGAGCUAGUCCAGGCUGACCUUCAGAACCUGAGAUGGGGACCAGUCUUGGAUCCWCUUAGAAGCAAAGCUACUCCAAGUCCAACUGUGCUACUACAUGCUAAAGAGUCUGGUAUGAAAACAAGCUG
rnacentral:lncRNA from 1 species